rnacentral:rRNA from 1 species
UACGUAGGGGGCUAGCGUUGUUCGGAAUUACUGGGCGUAAAGCGCGCGUAGGCGGUUAUUUUUGUCAGAGGUGAAAGCCCGGGGCUCAACUCCGGAAUUGCCUUUGAAACGGGAUCGCUUGAGUCCGGGAGAGGAUGGCGGAAUUCCUAGUGUAGAGGUGAAAUUCGUAGAUAUUAGGAAGAACACCGGUGGCGAAGGCGGCCAUCUGGCUCGGAACUGACGCUCAGGCGCGAAAGCGUGGGGAGCAAACAGG